rnacentral:rRNA from 1 species
UACGUAGGGUGCAGGCGUUAUUCGGAAUUACUGGGCGUAAAGGGCGCGUAGGCGGUUUGACCAGUCAGGUGUGAAAUUCCCGGGCUUAACCUGGGGGCUGCACUUGAUACUGUCAGGCUUGAAUUCGGGAGAGGAUAGCGGAAUUCCCAGUGUAGAGGUGAAAUUCGUAGAUAUUGGGAAGAACACCGGUGGCGAAGGCGGCUAUCUGGACCGACAUUGACGCUGAGGCGCGAAAGCCAGGGGAGCAAACGGG